rnacentral:lncRNA from 1 species
UCAAACAAGAAAAAUUUAUGCACCUUUAACUUUGUCCUAACAUAUAUAUGAAGAUCAUCAUUGGACAAAUAUGAUUAGAUAGCAGACUCCAAGCAUGAGAAUAGCCUAGAAUUUCUUGAGACAUUGAGGGAAAGGAGACGACAUGGAAUUUGUGCAUCACACCAAGUUACAUCGCACACACAAUAUGAUACAAAUACUAUCAUGUUCAACCUUACAUAGUUGUUAAAAAACAAUCAAAACAGAAAACAAGAGUAACAUAUAACAUUAUUUCAAGUACAUGACAUUAAUUACAAGUAAAAUCCAUAAGUUUCCCCCUAAAUACUAAGUAAUUAAAUAUGCAAUAAAAAAUUCUCAUGAUAAGCCAACUCCUUUUCUUCCUCUCAUCAGACAACUUGAACUUCCAACUUCUCAAUGUUUUUACUGCCCAUUUAAGCUUGUUG